rnacentral:rRNA from 1 species
CGCGGCCUAUCAGCUUGUUGGUGAGGUAACGGCUCACCAAGGCAUCGACGGGUAGCUGGUCUGAGAGGAUGAUCAGCCACACUGGGACUGAGACACGGCCCAGACUCCUACGGGAGGCAGCAGUGGGGAACCUUGCACAAUGGGCGAAAGCCUGAUGCAGCAACGCCGCGUGCGGGAAGAAGGCCUUAGGGUUGUAAACCGCUUUCAGCAGGGAAGAAAAUGACGGUACCUGCAGAAGGAGGUGCGGCCAACUACGUGCCAGCAGCCGCGGUGACACGUAGGCACCAAGCGUUGUCCGGAUUUAUUGGGCGUAAAGAGCUCGUAGGCGGUUCAGUAAGUCGGGUGUGAAAACUCUGGGCUCAACCCAGAGACGCCACCCGAUACUGCUGUGACUUGAGUACGGUAGGGGAGCGGGGAAUUCCUGGUGUAGCGGUGAAAUGCGCAGAUAUCAGGAGGAACACCAGUGGCGAAGGCGCCGCUCUGGGCCGUAACUGACGCUGAGGAGCGAAAGCGUGGGUAGCAAACAGGAUUAGAUACCCUGGUAGUCCACGCCGUAAACGUUGGGCACUAGGUGUGGGUCUCAACCAACGAGAUCCGCGCCGUCGCUAACGCAUUAAGUGCCCCGCCUGGGGAGUACGG